rnacentral:rRNA from 1 species
UAAGGAAUAUUGGUCAAUGGGGGAAACCCUGAACCAGCGACGCCGCGUGAGGGAUGACGGUUUUCGGAUUGUAAACCUCUGUCUUCAGGGAAGAGAAAGGACUGUACCUGAGGAGGAAGCCACGGCUAACUACGUGCCAGCAGCCGCGGUGAUACGUAGGUGGCAAGCGUUGUCCGGAUUUAUUGGGUGUAAAGGGAGCGUAGGCGGGAAGGUAAGUAUGGUGUGAAAUGCAGGGGCUUAACCCCUGAACUGCGCCAUAAACUAUCUUUCUUGAGUGAAGUAGAGGCAAGCGGAAUUCCCGGUGUAGCGGUGGAAUGCGUAGAUAUCGGGAGGAACACCAGUGGCGAAGGCGGCUUGCUGGGCUUUUACUGACGCUGAGGCUCGAAAGCAUGGGGAGCAAACA